rnacentral:lncRNA from 10 species
GGCGCACAGCUGUCGGUGGCGCUUCCCCGCCCGACCCGGGACCACCGGGGGCGGCGGCGGCGGGGGGCGCCGGGGCCUAGGGGGCGCCCCGCGGCAACGCGUCCCGGCCCUGCUGCUUCCCCCCGGGCCCCCGGUCGGCGGUGGCGGCCCCGGGGCGCCCCCCUCCCCCCCGGCUGUGGCGGCCGCGGCGGCGGCGGCGGGAAGCAGCGGGGCUGGGGUUCCAGGGGGAGCGGCCGCCGCCUCAGCAGCCUCCUCGUCGUCCGCCUCGUCUUCGUCUUCGUCAUCGUCCUCAGCCUCUUCAGGGCCGGCCCUGCUCCGGGUGGGCCCGGGCUUCGACGCGGCGCUGCAGGUCUCGGCCGCCAUCGGCACCAACCUGCGCCGGUUCCGGGCCGUGUUUGGGGAGAGCGGCGGGGGAGGCGGCAGCGGAGAGGAUGAGCAAUUCUUAGGUUUUGGCUCAGAUGAAGAAGUCAGAGUGCGAAGUCCCACAAGGUCUCCUUCAGUUAAAACUAGUCCUCGAAAACCUCGUGGGAGACCUAGAAGUGGCUCUGACCGAAAUUCAGCUAUCCUCUCAGAUCCAUCUGUGUUUUCCCCUCUAAAUAAAUCAGAGACCAAAUCUGGAGAUAAGAUCAAG